GGCGCACGGGUGAGUAACACGUAGGUGACCUGCCCUGGAGUGGGGGAUAACUUCUCGAAAGAGAGGCUAAUACCGCAUACGCUCGGCCAUUCGGUUGGUCGAGUAAAGCUCCGGCGCUCCAGGAGGGGCCUGCGUCCGAUUAGCUAGUUGGUGAGGUAAUGGCUCACCAAGGCGAUGAUCGGUAGCUGGUCUGAGAGGACGAUCAGCCACACUGGCACUGACACACGGGCCAGACUCCUACGGGAGGCAGCAGUGAGGAAUAUUGGUCAAUGGGCGAAAGCCUGAACCAGCAACGCCGCGUGAGGGAUGAAGGCCUUC
rnacentral:rRNA from 1 species